rnacentral:rRNA from 1 species
UACGUAGGUCCCGAGCGUUGUCCGGAUUUAUUGGGCGUAAAGCGAGCGCAGGUGGUUUAUUAAGUCUGGUGUAAAAGGCAGUGGCUCAACCAUUGUAUGCAUUGGAAACUGGUAGACUUGAGUGCAGGAGAGGAGAGUGGAAUUCCAUGUGUAGCGGUGAAAUGCGUAGAUAUCAGGAGGAACACCGGUGGCGAAAGCGGCUCUCUGGCCUGUAACUGACACUGAGGCUCGAAAGCGUGGGGAGCAAACAGG